GAUGAACGCUAGCGGCAGGCUUAAUACAUGCAAGUCGAGGGGUAGCAAGAUUGUAGCAAUACAAUUGUUGACGACCGGCAAACGGGUGCGGAACACGUACACAACCUUCCUACAAGUGGGGAAUAGCCCAGAGAAAUUUGGAUUAAUACCCCGUAACAUAGCGAUGUGGCAUCACAUUGCUAUUAUAGCUUCGGCGCUUGUUGAUGGGUGUGCGGCUGAUUAGAUAGUUGGCGGGGUAACGGCCCACCAAGUCUACGAUCAGUAGCUGAUGUGAGAGCAUGAUCAGCCACACGGGCACUGAGACACGGGCCCGACUCCUACGGGAGGCAGCAGUAAGGAAUAUUGGACAAUGGACGCAAGUCUGAUCCAGCCAUGCCGCGUGCGGGAAGAAGGCCUUCGGGUUGUAAACCGCUUUUGUCAGGGAAGAAACGCUCUGGGUUAAUACCUCGGGGUAAUGACGGUACCUGAAGAAUAAGCACCGGCUAACUACGUGCCAGCAGCCGCAGUAACAC
rnacentral:rRNA from 1 species